UACGUAGGGGGCGAGCGUUGUCCGGAUUUAUUGGGCGUAAAGAGCUCGUAGGCGGUGUGUCGCGUCGGCCGUGAAAACCUGGGGCUCAACUCUGGGCGUGCGGUCGAUACGGGCAUCACUGGAGUUCGGCAGGGGAGACUGGAAUUCCUGGUGUAGCGGUGAAAUGCGCAGAUAUCAGGAGGAACACCGGUGGCGAAGGCGGGUCUCUGGGCCGAUACUGACGCUGAGGAGCGAAAGCAUGGGUAGCGAACAGG
rnacentral:rRNA from 1 species